GCAGGUUUAUGAACAUAUGAAAAUCUUGAAAAUUGACAGUCUGGAUAAUGUAUUGCAAGAUGUACUAGUUUUGGGACUCAAAAUCUUUUUUUCUUUCAUAUUCAUACAUCUCGAUGUCGAGAUGAUCAACUACAAGUUUUUUCAAUAUUAAAACAACAUUUUCCGAUGUAUUUUUGGGGUACAUAUGUAAUUUUACAUUUUAAGCAACCUUAUAUAAACUUUUUCCAUUAUGAUUUACUUUAUUGAAAUAGUGAAUUGGCCAGUACAUUCAAACAUGCCCCUAAUGUAUGGAAAAAGUUUAUAUAGAGCCAACGCUCUAAAAAAUCAAAUUAGAGCUCACCUCAUAAGGUUGUUUUGAUGCCCAAAUGUCUUAAAAUUUGAUAGUGUGAAUUAAUAUUGGUCAUAAACAUUGAAUUUAACUAUUUUAGUCACAACCUUUAAAUAUAGUUAAUUUGUAGUUUAAAUAAUAAAUGGUGAUGUAAUUUAAAAAAAAUUAUUGUGAAAUGGUAAAGUAUUUUAAACAUUAGAUUGAGAUAUUGUAAGCAAUUUAUCA
rnacentral:lncRNA from 1 species